AUUGAACGCUGGCGGCAGGCCUAACACAUGCAAGUCGAGCGGGGUUUUCGGACCUAGCGGCGGACGGGUGAGUAAUGCGUAGGAAGCUACCCGAUAGAGGGGGAUACCAGUUGGAAACGACUGUUAAUACCGCAUAAUGUCUACGGACCAAAGUGUGAGACCUUAGGGCCACAUGCUAUCGGAUGCGCCUACGUGGGAUUAGCUAGUUAGUGAGGUAAUGGCUCACCAAGGCGACGAUCCCUAGCUGGUUUGAGAGGAUGAUCAGCCACACUGGAACUGAGACACGGUCCAGACUCCUACGGGAGGCAGCAGUGGGGAAUAUUGGACAAUGGGCGCAAGCCUGAUCCAGCCAUGCCGCGUGUGUGAAGAAGGCCUUCGGGUUGUAAAGCACUUUCAGUAGGGAGGAAGGGUUAAGUGUUAAUAGUACUUAACUUUGACGUUACCUACAGAAGAGGCACCGGCUAACUCUGUGCCAGCAGCCGCGGUAACAC
rnacentral:rRNA from 1 species